AGUAUAUAGAAAAUGAAUUCAGCCCAUUAUGUGUUGUAUUGUCGCUAACACCAUGUCAUAUCAGGGGGGAAAAUGGACGUUUAUUAAUCACAUCAGAAGCAAUCAAAUACUUAUUCACUUCGGAAGAGCUUAUUAUAAGGACAAUACAAAGAUUUUCAAAGGCAGCUGUAGUGUAUUGCUAUCGUGGGUAAUUUAGUCUUUUUUUUUUUUUCUUUGAAAGAGUAAGCCACAGCGAAAAUUUGUCUUCUGGCCGGGAUAUCGAUUGCCAUUCAGGUCAAACCACAAAGCACUUAGUCUUUAACUGGAAACACGUUUGAACAUUAAUUUUUAAUGCCCUGUUUUAUUCCCCCCAUUUUGGUAACUUUGUUCACUCUACUCAUGAUACGCUAUUUAAAAAGAAAACAAAAAUAACAGUUCUUCAAAUUGUUUUCUCGAAUAGAGGCCAUAGUCAAAUGUAUAUUUUGUGUCUCGUGAAAAUCAGUAUCUGCAGUAGAUUUCCUCGCGUAGGCUAAUUGAGACACAGUGUCAAAUGUGUGUGAUGUCCACCUCCACACAGCUGUCAGCAGAUGUUUCUGUUUCUAAUGGAGUUCAGACUCCCAGAGGCUUCAACUCAGAGCGGUAUGCAAGAUUUUCACAAGGGGAUAUAUCGCCGCUUAACCACUAAGAUGGUGAUUUUAGAUCUAAGGUCCGAUUCAAAUUAAUGCAUGUCCAUUAAAAUCUCUUCGUAUAUA